GAGUGGCGAACGGGUGAGUAACACGUGGGAAACCUACCUCUUAGCAGGGGAUAACAUUUGGAAACAGAUGCUAAUACCGUAUAACAAUGACAACCGCAUGGUUGUUAUUUAAAAGAUGGUUCUGCUAUCACUAAGAGAUGGUCCCGCGGUGCAUUAGCUAGUUGGUAAGGUAAUGGCUUACCAAGGCGAUGAUGCAUAGCCGAGUUGAGAGACUGAUCGGCCACAAUGGGACUGAGACACGGCCCAUACUCCUACGGGAGGCAGCAGUAGGGAAUCUUCCACAAUGGGCGAAAGCCUGAUGGAGCAACGCCGCGUGUGUGAUGAAGGGUUUCGGCUCGUAAAACACUGUUGUAAGAGAAGAAUGACAUUGAGAGUAACUGUUCAAUGUGUGACGGUAUCUUACCAGAAAGGAACGGCUAAAUACGUGCCAGCAGCCGCGGUAAUACGUAUGUUCCAAGCGUUAUCCGGAUUUAUUGGGCGUAAAGCGAGCGCAGACGGUUAUUUAAGUCUGAAGUGAAAGCCCUCAGCUCAACUGAGGAAUUGCUUUGGAAACUGGAUGACUUGAGUGCAGUAGAGGAAAGUGGAACUCCAUGUGUAGCGGUGAAAUGCGUAGAUAUAUGGAAGAACACCAGUGGCGAAGGCGGCUUUCUGGACUGUAACUGACGUUGAGGCUCGAAAGUGUGGGUAGCAAACAGGAUUAGAUACCCUGGUAGUCCACACCGUAAACGAUGAGUGCUAGGUGUUUGAGGGUUUCCGCCCUUAAGUGCCGCAGCUAACGCAUUAAGCACUCCGCCUGGGGAGUACGACCGCAAGGUUGAAACUCAAAGGAAUUGACGGGGACCCGCACAAGCGGUGGAGCAUGUGGUUUAAUUCGAAGCAACGCGAAGAACCUUACCAGGUCUUGACAUCCCUUGACAACUCCAGAGAUGGAGCGUUCCCUUCGGGGACAAGGUGACAGGUGGUGCAUGGUUGUCGUCAGCUCGUGUCGUGAGAUGUUGGGUUAAGUCCCGCAACGAGCGCAACCCUUAUUACUAGUUGCCAGCAUUCAGUUGGGCACUCUAGUGAGACUGCCGGUGACAAACCGGAGGAAGGUGGGGAUGACGUCAAAUCAUCAUGCCCCUUAUGACCUGGGCUACACACGUGCUACAAUGGCGUAUACAACGAGUUGCCAACCCGCGAGGGUGAGCUAAUCUCUUAAAGUACGUCUCAGUUCGGAUUGUAGGCUGCAACUCGCCUACAUGAAGUCGGAAUCGCUAGUAAUCGCGGAUCAGCACGCCGCGGUGAAUACGUUCCCGGGUCUUGUACACACCGCCCGUCACACCAUGAGAGUUUGUAACACCCAAAGCCGGUGGGGUAACCUUCGGGAGCCAG
rnacentral:rRNA from 1 species